UACGUAGGGUGCGAGCGUUGUCCGGAAUUAUUGGGCGUAAAGGGCUCGUAGGCGGUUUGUCGCGUCGGGAGUGAAAUCCCCCGGCUCAACUGGGGAACUGCAAGGGAAACAGCAGGCUUGAGUUCGGGAGAGGGAAGCGGAAUUCCGGGUGUAGCGGUGAAAUGCGUAGAUAUCCGGAGGAACACCGGUGGCGAAGGCGGCUUCCUGGACCGAUACUGACGCUGAGGCGCGAAAGCUAGGGGAGCAAACGGG
rnacentral:rRNA from 1 species